AAAGGGAGACCUAAUUCAGGUAGGAGACGAAAAAAAAGUAGUCCCUACCAAGAAUCAAUCCCAAAAGGUCGGAGCGAGGCAAAAUUGGCUUUCAAACUAGGUUCUGGGUUCACACAAGACCUGAAUCAGGAACAAGGGCUAUUAGCUCAGGUGGUUAGAGCGCACCCCUGAUAAGGGUGAGGUCCCUGGUUCGAGUCCAGGAUGGCCCACCUGUACAGGUGGCAAAAACAAAGAAAAGAAGCUCCGAAUCAGCACCUUAUCUUACUUAUAUAGUAAGAGAGAAUGCUGGCUCUGAGUACAGAGUCCAGAGGAACCUUGAAAACUGCAUAGAGCUAGGUGAAAAAGCCAAAAAAGAAGACCGCAAG
rnacentral:tRNA from 1 species